GAUUCCAGAGCUGCUGGCUUAAAGAAUCUCAAAAACCCAGGCCAUGGUUGUUGAGAGCUCUAAAUAGUAGUGUUGGAGGAAGGUUUUGGCUGGGAGGUUUUUUCAAGAUUGGAAAUGAUCUUUCUCAAUUUGUGGGGCCUGUCAUACUUAGUCUCCUCUUACAG